rnacentral:rRNA from 1 species
CCUACGGGGCGCAGCAGUGAGGAAUAUUGGUCAAUGGUCGGGAGACUGAACCAGCCAAGCCGCGUGAGGGAUGAAGGUACAGAGGAUCGUAAACCUCUUUUGUCAGGGAACAAAGGCGGGGACGCGUCCCCGGAUGAGUGUACCUGAAGAAAAAGCAUCGGCUAACUCCGUGCCAGCAGCCGCGGUAAUACGGAGGAGGCGAGCGUGAUCCGGAUUUAUUGGGUUUAAAGGGUGUGCAGGCGGUCUGUUAAGUCAGCGGUCAAAGAGCGGGGCUCAA